GCUUCUUUUUCCACCGGAGCUUGCUCCACCGGAAAAAGAGGAGUGGCGAACGGGUGAGUAACACGUGGGUAACCUGCCCAUCAGAAGGGGAUAACACUUGGAAACAGGUGCUAAUACCGUAUAACAAUCGAAACCGCAUGGUUUUGAUUUGAAAGGCGCUUUCGGGUGUCGCUGAUGGAUGGACCCGCGGUGCAUUAGCUAGUUGGUGAGGUAACGGCUCACCAAGGCCACGAUGCAUAGCCGACCUGAGAGGGUGAUCGGCCACAUUGGGACUGAGACACGGCCCAAACUCCUACGGGAGGCAGCAGUAGGGAAUCUUCGGCAAUGGACGAAAGUCUGACCGAGCAACGCCGCGUGAGUGAAGAAGGUUUUCGGAUCGUAAAACUCUGUUGUUAGAGAAGAACAAGGAUGAGAGUAACUGUUCAUCCCUUGACGGUAUCUAACCAGAAAGCCACGGCUAACUACGUGCCAGCAGCCGCGGUAAUACGUAGGUGGCAAGCGUUGUCCGGAUUUAUUGGGCGUAAAGCGAGCGCAGGCGGUUUCUUAAGUCUGAUGUGAAAGCCCCCGGCUCAACCGGGGAGGGUCAUUGGAAACUGGGAGACUUGAGUGCAGAAGAGGAGAGUGGGAUUCCAUGUGUAGCGGUGAAAUGCGUAGAUAUAUGGAGGAACACCAGUGGCGAAGGCGGCUCUCUGGUCUGUAACUGACGCUGAGGCUCGAAAGCGUGGGGAGCAAACAGGAUUAGAUACCCUGGUAGU
rnacentral:rRNA from 1 species